UACGAACUGUGCAAACGUUAUUCGGAAUCACUGGGCUUAAAGGGUGCGUAGGCGGCUUGUUAAGUAGGGUGUGAAAUCCCCCGGCUCAACCGGGGAAUUGCGCCCUAAACUGGCGAGCUGGAGUGAGAUAGGGGUGUGUGGAACUUCCAGUGGAGCGGUGAAAUGCGUAGAUAUCGGGAGGAACACCUGUGGCGAAGGCGGCCCCCUGGUUGGAGUACUGACGCUGAUACGCGAAAGCGUGGGGAGCAAACAGG
rnacentral:rRNA from 1 species